UUACUUACCUGGCAAUGGAGAUACCGUGAUCAAGAAGGCGGUUCACCCAGGGCGAGGCUCUGCCAUUGCACUCCGGCUGUGCUGACCCUUGCGAAUUUCCCAAAUAUCUCGAUUGCAUAAAUUCUGGUAGUGGGGGAGGUUUCUACUGUAUCUUAC